UACUGGGGCGGUAGCUUUCAUUAAAGUAACGAGAGCAAACAAUAGACACCAGAAAUUCGAACUGAACAUACUGUGUGUUUGACUGCAAGAAACACAAUUCAAGCAGGGGUUUAUAGCCGGUAGUAACGACCGGGUUAUAACUAUACAUUAAGGAGUUAUAAUCCAUCAACGGACAAAAGGUACGCUAGGGAUAACACGCCUUUUCCUGAAGAGAGUACAUAUCGACUUGGGAGUGGGGCUGCUCGAUGUCGUCUUAUCCCGUCCUGAUGCUGAAGAGGGUAUCAAGGGUUGGACUGUUCGUCCAUUAAAGGGGUAC
rnacentral:rRNA from 1 species